UACGUAGGGGGCAAGCGUUGUCCGGAAUCAUUGGGCGUAAAGCGCGUGUAGGCGGCCCGGAAAGUCUGGUGUGAAAUCUUGAGGCUCAACCUCAAGCUGUCACUGGAUACUGUCGGGCUCGAGUCCGGAAGAGGAGAGUGGAAUUCCUGGUGUAGCGGUGGAAUGCGCAGAUAUCAGGAGGAACACCCGUGGCGAAGGCGGCUCUCUGGUACGUGACUGACGCUGAGACGCGAAAGCGUGGGGAGCGAACAGG
rnacentral:rRNA from 1 species